AUGUAUUUUUUAUGUGCCCAUGUCCUGAUAAUGAUAUGUUUUUUUACAGAAAAUGGGAAGGUUGAUUUCAAAAAGUUGAUGGAACAAGUGAAUAUUAUUAAAGGAGGAGAAAUCGAUGUCUGUGACUUGAAAAAUGUUCUUGGAAAAAUGGGGAUAACACUCACAAAUAAGGAAUUUCUGAAUCUGGUACAAAAUUUACCAAUAGAUGGUAAGAAUCUAAAAUAUUGUCCUGGUCUUCUAAAAAAUAGUAAUUCUUAUUUUGUUUGUGAGAAAUUCUAUAACAUUCCAUUUGAUAGUAAAGAAUACAUAUUUUCUGAAUCAUUUGGAAUCAAAUACCUCAUGUCCAUAUAAUCUCUCUCUCUUUUGCACACACAAACACACACACACACACGCUCAUCUAAUGUAUGUAAAGAUACAUUGAAAUUUGUUAACAUGAUUUACAUGGGAUGUUAAGGAUUGUUAUAGCAAUGAAAAGAAGGGGGAGAAGUAUUCAAAUAAUAAUAAUAACAAAAAGAAGAAAAUAUUAGAAUUAAAAAGUACUCCCAUGUAUGAUAUUAUCCUAUGUAUACAUUGUACAAACUUAUAAAAGUUUACAAUCAUAGACAAUUUUCAAAAGUAAAGAAAAAGAAUAAUCUGAUAUCUUAAAAAUUUUAUAAGGGGUUGGUACGGUGGCACAGCAGGUUAAGCUGCCACCUGCCAUGCUGGCAUCCCAUACUGGUGCCAGUUCAACAUCUGGCUGCUCCAGUUCUGAUCCAGCUCCCUGCUAAUGUUCCUGGGUAAACAGCGGAAGAUGGCCCAAGUGCUUGGGCUCCUGAACCCACAUGGGAGAACUGGAUAAAGCUCCUGGUUCCUGGCUUUGGACUGCCCAGCUUUGGCCUUUGUAGCCAUUUGAAGAGUGAACCGGCAGGUGGAAGAUGUUUCUCUCUCUCUUUCUCUCUCUCUUUUCUCUCCUUCUCCCUCCCCCUCUCUCUCCCUCCCUCUUUCCCUCUCUCUACUUUUCAAAUGAAAAAGGAUUUUAUGAAAUAUUUUAUAAUUUGAGAAUCAAGAACUUUUUGUUCACAAAUUCUUCCACUAAAAUUGAGGUAUAACUUUUAUAAACUAAGAAAAUUCUACUGGAAGAGGAUUCUAAAGGAAAAUGAAUUAAAUGAAAAAGGAACUAAGAGCAUUGUAAACUAAUAUAAAAAUCAGUGCUUGUUACAGACUUUUCAGAAAUACUAAAUAUCUGAAGUUGUGGAUACGUUAAUUGGUCUGAUCUAAUCAUCCACAAUGUAUGCAUAUAUAUAACAUCACAAGAUAUAUAGUNNNNNNNNNNNNNNNNNNNNNNNNNNNNNNNNNNNNNNNNNNNNNNNNNNNNNNNNNNNNNNNNNNNNNNNNNNNNNNNNNNNNNNNNNNNNNNNNNNNNAUAUGUUUUUUGUAGCUAAUGAAAAAAUCUAUAAGAAUAGAUUGCUGGAUGGCUUGAAGUCUCUUAAUGGUAAGUGAAAAACAAUGAAAAACCAGUUGACUCUAAGAGAUACAUGUGCACUGUUUCCUAGAUAUUAAAUUGUGACUCUUUUCACUUUACUUAAAUAUUGAUGCUAUUCCCAUCUUCCUUUUUGAUGUUUUUGUUAGCAAAGUAUCUCCACAUUAGAUUUCUUUUUUAAAAUUUUAUUUAAAAUAUACAAAGUUCAUGUAUUUCCUAUACACAGAUUCAGGAACACAGUGAUACUUCUCAUCCUACUAUUCUUCUCACCCAUAUUAACCAUGCUUCUUCUUUCUCCCUCUCCUAUUCCCAUUCUAAAUUUUUACAAAGACCCAUUUUUAGUUUAUUUUAUGUUCAUAAGAUUAACCCUACACUAAGAGUUCAAAAAAUAGCAUGAAGGAAAAAAACACUGUUCCUCAACAGUCAAGCAUCGCUUUCUGACCUUUUGGCUAAGAUCAAGAGUAACAGUCAAGACAAAGACUUAACAAUCAUAGAGUCUUAAAAUGUCAAUUUCACCCCUAUAAAUCACCUUUUAGGUAUUUUAUUAGUUACCACAGAUCAGGAAAAACAUAUAAUAUUUGUGUUUUUGGAACUGGCUUAUUUCACUAUGUGUAAUGGUUUCCAGUUGUAUCCAUUUUGUUGCAAAAAAAGUUUCUUUUUUUACCACUGUGUAGUAUUCCACAGUGUAUAUAUACCAUAAUUUCUUUAUCCAGUCUUCAGUAGAUGGACAUCUGGGUUGAUCCAUAUCUUAGCUAUUAUGAGUUGAGCUGCAAUCAACAUGGGAGUACAGAUCACUUUUUUAUAUGCUGAUUGCAUUUCAUUUGUGUAAAUUUCAAGGAGCGUCAUGGCUGGGUAAUAUUUUAGGUCUAUAUUCAGAUUUCUUAGGUGUUGCCAUAUUAUCUUCCACAGUGGCUACACCAGUUUGCAUUCCCACUAACAGUGGAUUAGAGUACCCUUUUUCUCACAUCCACGCCAGCAUUGUUUGUUGAUUUCUGUAUGAUUUCUGUAUCAGGGGUGAGGUGAAAGCUCAUUGUAAUUUUGAUUUGCAGUUCCCUGAUGGCUGGUGAUCCUGAGCAUUUAUUCAUGUGUCUGUUGGCCAUUUGGAUUUCCUUUUCGAAAAGUGCCUAUUCAAGUCCUUUGCCCAUUUCUUAACUAGAUUAUUUGUAUUGUUGUUGAGUUCCUUGCACUCUUUAUAGAUUCUAAAAUAUUAAUCCUUUAUGAGUUUCAUAGUUUGCAAAUAUUUUCUUCCAUUCUGUUGGUUACCUCUUCACUUUGCUGUGUGUUUCUUUUGCAGUGCAGAAGCUUCUCAGCUUGAUGUAAUCUCAUUUGUCAAUUUUGGCUUUGAUUGCCUGUGCAUCUGGGGUCUUUUCCAAGAAGUUUUUGCCUAUGUCAGUGUCUUUCAGAGUUUUCCCAAUGUUCUCUAGUGAUUUGAUGGUAUUGUGCCAGAUUUAGGUCCUUGAUUUUUUUUGACUGGAAUUUUGUGUAAGGUGAAAGGUAGGGGUCUUAUUUCAUCCUUAUACAUGAGGAAAUCCAGUUUUCCAAGCACUACUUGUUGAAUAAACUGAUCCUUGCUCUACA
ensembl:lncRNA